AAAACUAGCGUAGAGCAACAGCGACAUCUAUCCGUCUCUGCCGGGUAGGGAGCCCGGGACCUUCACUUUGAACAAAGGAGAAAAAGCUCCCCCGGUUUGCGGGAGUUUGUUUACCAAUGAACCAACGCGUGUCUACAGCAGAGUGGGGGGAAGCGAAACCCAAAAAAAAAAAAAAAAAAAAAGGGGGAAGCGAAAGCGCAAAUACGAGCAAAGUCAAAUCCAAAUAAAAAGACCCAGAAGCCUUUAUAGAAUCUAGAGGAAAUGUCGUAUCUGUGUGUGCUGUUGGAAAUAGACGAUCCACCGUGGAAACCUCAUAUUUUAGGAAAGUGUAAAUGUUGUGUUUAUAAAAUAAAGAUUUACAUUGUUAACAGUCA